CCGAUCCGCUCAACCGUUGGUUUAUCCGUUUAUGUCAAAGUAAAAGUAAACAAAACCUUGCGGUUAAUGUUUGGGCAAUGGGAGCUUGGGAUCAAGAAGUUGUGCUGUGUUUCUUUCAGUAAAGCAAGAUUUGCAUAGAAAGGUGAUGAAAUAGUUCAUGAAUAAUUUUACGACAAGAAGCUGCCAUACUACGACACACUUUGACAUGAGUAUCUGAAAUUCCAGUGAACCAGUCAGUUCACCAGCAAAAAAACAGCUUCUAGUCCUGGCAAAAGCCAGAAAACAAUGUAAGAAGAAACAUCAACAAUUUAUCAUUUCAGGAGACUAUAACAGAUCUGUGCAUCACACAAGGUAAUCAAGAGUUUGCAGUCAGCAGCAUACUCAGUAGCCUACUCUUUUUUCUAAAGACGAAAUGAAUCCUUGAAGAUGUCUUGGAGCUGUUGUCACUUUGUCCAACAGCGUCCUGGAAGAACUGCUACUUUGCAUCACCACAAUUUAAAACAUUCCAGCCACAGAGUUCCAGCACAGCACAUGCUUUACAGAUAUGAGCUAACUACAACAUUUGAUAUAAAUUCACAGGUACAGGUUGUAGAUAAUGUAGAAGAACUGGAAAAGAAAUAGAAUUUGGUUGCUCUAGUACUGCUACUCAUUCACCUUAGGGGCCAUAUUAGGGAUUAAUUAUUCGGCAAUUUUUCCGCAAUUAGAUGGCGCGAGUGUCUUCGUUACUCAAGAGUCCAGACGAAAUUCCGCCAUUUCCUAAAACACUGAUUGGAAACCGCAUGUUGAAAACGUAUCGUUGGAUUGGAUACUUCUUAAUACGGCGUACUUUUCUUUCUUGACAUUUUUAUUCGUAAUAAUGGUAUUUAUCUGGUAACAGCCUAUAAUUUCUAAAUGGCAAUUUAAUCUGAUCAUGUGGCCUGAGCAGCUGAACAUUUUGCCAAAAUGUCUCUUUUUCUUGUACCAGCUUCACGUUUGUCAGAAACACUUCGGAACACUUCGGGAAUAAUGUGCUGGUGGAGUUGAGCUUUCAGUUGCUGCCCAACGUAAAUAUGGAUUUGAAGCAGCCAUCUGAUAAGGGUGUUCCUCUUGCUACCUGUACUGUUGUGUGUUUCAUCACACGAAGAAACACUUAGCUACAAUCGAAGUUUAGCGUUUAUGUUCGCGUAGUUGCUGUCCGAUGUCAAUGUGGCACGUUGUUGCAGCC